CGGUUUGUCGCGUCUGUCGUGAAAGUCCGGGGCUUAACCCCGGAUCUGCGGUGGGUACGGGCAGACUAGAGUGCAGUAGGGGAGACUGGAAUUCCUGGUGUAGCGGUGGAAUGCGCAGAUAUCAGGAGGAACACCGAUGGCGAAGGCAGGUCUCUGGGCUGUAACUGACGCUGAGGAGCGAAAGCAUGGGGAGCGAACAGGAUUAGAUACCCUGGUAGUCCAUGCCGUAAACGUUGGGCACUAGGUGUGGGGACCAUUCCACGGUUUCCGCGCCGCAGCUAACGCAUUAAGUGCCCCGCCUGGGGAGUACGGCCGCAAGGCUAAAACUCAAAGGAAUUGACGGGGGCCCGCACAAGCGGCGGAGCAUGCGGAUUAAUUCGAUGCAACGCGAAGAACCUUACCAAGGCUUGACAUGUUCUCGAUCGCCGUAGAGAUACGGUUUCCCCUUUGGGGCGGGUUCACAGGUGGUGCAUGGUUGUCGUCAGCUCGUGUCGUGAGAUGUUGGGUUAAGUCCCGCAACGAGCGCAACCCUCGUUCCAUGUUGCCAGCACGUCGUGGUGGGGACUCAUGGGAGACUGCCGGGGUCAACUCGGAGGAAGGUGAGGACGACGUCAAAUCAUCAUGCCCCUUAUGUCUUGGGCUUCACGCAUGCUACAAUGGCCGGUACAAUGGGUUGCGAUACUGUGAGGUGGAGCUAAUCCCAAAAAGCCGGUCUCAGUUCGGAUUGGGGUCUGCAACUCGACCCCAUGAAGUCGGAGUCGCUAGUAAUCGCAGAUCAGCAACGCUGCGGUGAAUACGUUCCCGGGCCUUGUACACACCGCCCGUCAAGUCACGAAAGUUGGUAACACCCGAAGCCGGUGGCCUAACCCUUGUGGGGGGAGCCGUCGAAGGUGGACCAGCGAUGGA
rnacentral:rRNA from 1 species